rnacentral:rRNA from 1 species
CCUACGGGAGGCUGCAGUAGGGAAUAUUGCUCAAUGGGGGAAACCCUGAAGCAGCCACGCCGCGUGGAGGAUGAAGGUUUUCGGAUUGUAAACUCCUUUUGUUAGAGAAGAUAAUGACGGUAUCUAACGAAUAAGCACCGGCUACCUCCGUGCCAGCAGCCGCGGGAAUACGGCGGGUGCAAGCGUUACUCGGAAUCACUGGGCGUAAAGCGUGCGGAGGCGGGAUAGCAAGUCAGAUGUGAAAGCCUAUGGCUUAACCAUAGAACUGCAUUUGAAACUGUUAUUCUAGAGUAUGGGAGUGGUAGGUGGAAUUCUUGGUGUAGGGGUAAAAUCCGUAGAGAUCAAGAGGAAUACUCAUUGCGAAGGCGACCUGCGAGAACAUAACUGACGCUGAUGCGCGAAAGCGUGGGGAGCAAACAGGAUUAGAUACCCUGGUAGUC